AUGCUUCCUGGAAAUCACACAAAAGGUCCAGUGAUGUGCUGCCUCCAAUUCGCCUCUCCCGCAACCUCCCAUUCCCCUUCAUCACCACACCUGCUGCAACAAUCGCUCCCUGCCUUCAUCGUCCUUCGCCUCUUCAUCUGCUUGCACAAAGGCAAGAAGAAGAAUCAGUAUGCAGCGGCGCUGUUUGCAGUGGCGCUGGCUGUGGCUGGCGUGCGGACUGGUUUACAGUUGGUGGUAUCUCCAAUCUUAAAGAAGCUCCUAGCUGACCCUGCAAGGUGUCUUGGUGUGGACAUGGUGAGUGAGCUCCAUGAACUGGAGACCAACAUCAUGCCGCAGUUCGCUCUACUGGUUGAAGCAGCUAACAGGAGCCCUCACAGGCCAAUGUUGAACAACUGGGUCCAGCAGCUGAAAGACGCCUUCUGUAAAGCUGAGGACCUGCUAGAUGAGCAUGAGUACAACAUCCUCAAGCGAGAAGCAGAGAAGGGGAAGGAAUGUUUGCCGGAGCAUGCAUCUUCCAGUAAUACUAUUAUGAAGCAUGUGCGUACUGCGUCGAGCAGGCUGUCCAAUCUGCGCCCAAAGAACAAACGGCUGCUUCACCAGUUGAAAGAACUGAAGGCCAUCCUGGCGAAAGCCAAGGACUUCCGUGAAUUGCUUUGCUUGCCUGCCGGUAAUAGUGAGGCCUCUGCAGUACCAACACCUGUUGUUCCAGUUGUCACAUCAAUGGUACCUCAGAAAGUGAUUGGUCGUGACAAGGAUCGGGAUGAUAUCAUAGAUCUUCUUACCAAGCCAAUUGCUCUUGAGUCUGAUACAAGUAGGUAUUCUGGUCUAGCCAUUGUUGGACUUGGAGGCAUGGGAAAAUCAACCUUGGCGCAACACAUUUACAAUGACAAGAGGGUAAAAGAACAUUUUGAGGUCAGGAUGUGGGUAUGCAUCUCACGCAGACUUGAUGUUGACCGCCACACGCGGUUGACAAUUGAAUCAACAACAAAGGGAGAGUGCCCACGCAUUGAUAAUCUUGAUACUCUACAGUGCAAAUUAACAGACAUACUGCAAAAUCCAAACAGAUACCUUCUUGUGUUGGAUGAUGUCUGGUUUGAAGAAAACACCAAUGAGAUGGAGUGGGAGAAACUAUUGUCUCCUCUAGUAUCUCAACGAAUGGGAAGCAAAGUUUUGGACCAUGCCUUUUCUGGUGCAGCAGUUGGAGACCAGAAGGUGCGUGAGCAGCUAGAAACUAUUGCAGAAAAGCUUGCUAAAAGACUUGGAAGAUCUCCUCUAGCAGCAAAAACUGUGGGUUCACGGCUGACCAGGAAAAAGGAUAAGGCUGCAUGGGAAGAUGCUCUAAAGAUGGACAACUUAAGCGAUCCCAGUAGAGCACUCUUGUGGAGUUAUGAGAAGCUAGAUCUGAGUCUGCAAAGGUGUUUUCUAUAUUGUAGUUUAUAUCCAAAAGGCUACUGGUAUCGCAUUAAGGAGUUGGUUCAUAUGUGGGUAGCAGAGGGACUAAUUGAAUCCUGCAAUGUGAACAAGAGAAUGGAAGAUAUUGGGAGGGAUUGCUUUAAUGAGCUGCUCUCAGUUUCAUUCUUUCAACCAGCUUACGAAUCCACAGCUGACAUAUCUGCACACUAUGUUAUGCAUGAUCUGGUUCAUGAUUUGGCAGAAUUACUGUCUGAAAAAGUCUGCUUCAGGUUAGAAGAUGAUAAGGUGGCAAAAAUACCACACACUGUUCGACAUCUAUCUGUCUAUGUUACGACUCUGAAGCAACAUCAACACUCUAUUUGCGGGCUACAGAAUUUACGUAGCUUUGUUUGCAUUGAACCACUUUUAGAUGAUGCAAGAGAUAUUUUCCAGCAGGUGCUGCAGAAUUUAAAGAAGUUGCGUGUACUCUAUUUGAGCUUCCAUAACAGCAGCAAGCUACCUGAGUCUGUUGGUGAACUGAAGCACCUUCAGUACUUGAACCUCAAAAGAACAUCAAUCUCCGAAUUGCCUGAAUCAUUGUGUGCUCUCUACCACUUGCAAUCACUUCAAAGGUCUGAUACAACCACCUCAAAUUAUGGGCCUUAUACUAUCGAAGGUUACAGAUGUACAGAAUACCCAAGCUGGUUACUUGAGGAUUCUUAUUUCCAGAAUUUCGAGGCACUUACCCUUGUUGAUUGCAGUGCCUUAGAAAUACUACCAUCCAAUGCUGCUCUCCUCGGGAAUUGCUCCUUACAUCGCCUCGAGAAUGUCCGAAACCUGAAGACACUGCCUUCUCUUCCAACCAGGCUUGAAGAGUUGAAGAUUGAGAAAUGCAUGUUGGUUAUGUUUAUUUCUAACGAUGAGCUAGAACAACAUGACCAAAGGGAGAACACCAUGAUGAUACACAACUUGGAGUCACGGCUUUCUUCCAUGUGGGAGGUGGAUACGGGAUCCAAAAUCAGGAAAGUAUUAUUGUCAGAUCACUCAUCUCUCAAGUGGUUGAUGACAUUGAUGGAUGCUGAUAGUUCUCAUCUCCAAACCAUUGAAAGUGCUCUACAAAGAGAUGGGGAUGAAGCAAUGCUAAAAGAGGUUACCAUCAAGGCAUGGAUAUGUUGCCAUGAGGAGAGGAUAAGACUAAUUUGUACAAGGAACAGCGGCAUGCCUCUGGUUCCACCAUCAGGGCUUUCUCGGCUUGAUCUUUCUUCAUGCAUCAUUACAGAUGGGGCAUUAGCGGUUUGCCUUGAUGGUCUCACUUCACUAAGAAGUUUGUCAUUAAAAGAGAUUAUGACGAAGCUUCAGAACUUGUGCAUCGACUCAUGCUGGUGCCUUAGAUUAUUAGGGGGGUUGCGAGCUGCCACCGGUCUUUCUGAAAUUUCAUUAUACAGCUGCCCUUCUUUAGACCUGGCAUGUGGAUCAGAUUUUAUGCCAUUUUCCCUUGAGAAGCUCGACAUACGCCACUGUGUGGUUGCAGCUGAUUUCUUCAGUAGUGACUUGCCGCAUCUGAAAGAUCUUUCCAUGAGGUGGUGCAGAAGCUCUGCAUCAUUGUCGAUUGGUCAUUUAACCUCCCUCCAAAGAUUGUCACUGCGAAAUUUACAGGACAUGUGCUUUCUUGAAGGCUUGUCUUCACUGCAACUAUCCAGUGCACAAUUUGUACAUGUCCCGAACCUCAAUAUGAAGUUCAUCUCACAGUUGCGAGUCAAGAAUAAUCUUCAUGUUAGCAGUUCUGUAAUGCUCAACCACAUGCUCUCAGAUGAAGGUUUUAUAGUUCCAAAAUUUCUCGGUCUUGAAGGAUGCAAUGAGUCCUUUACAUUUGAAGAAUCUGCAGAUUGCUCAUCUAUCAAGUGCCUGUUAUUUUUUGAUUGUGAAAUCAGUUCCUUGCCAGGAAAUCUGAAGUGCUUUUCAUGUCUGCGGACACUCAAGAUUAUUAAAUGCCACAAUAUAUCAUUUUUACCCGAUUUGCCAUCUUCCCUCAACAGAAUAGAAAUGUGUGGUUCUGAACUCUUGAGGGAGAGCUGCCAAUCACCUGAUGAUUUGCAUCCAUAUAGAAACAAAAAGGGUUCCAGCGAUCACACCUCGUGUCCACUGCCUGUCACUGAGGUGGAGCGAAUCUCUCGAGCUCUCAUCAUGCAGUUCGGCUCUCCCAUGUGUCGUAGGCCGAUCGACCCUGUUCACUUGCAUCGCCAAUUUCUGCAAUCAUCGGCCCUCAGCGGCUCCUUUGCCAAGACGUGUGGCCAACAAGUGCUUGAAAAUUCUCCUACUCAUUGCCUGCCUAAACUGCACCCUCCUCAUCCUCCUCCUCCUUUGUAUUUGUGGAAGAAAAGGGGAUAUGCCAAACCGAGUUGCUCCUCUGCAUUACUCGAAAGUUGGAAGCAACAUGGACAGUUCAACCUGAUGACUAGAACAGAUUCAAAUGUAGGAGCAUUUGAUCAAAUUUAUACCUCCAGCUCUAAUCCAGGGCGGCUCGGACAAUCUGCAAGCCAGCAAGUGCUUGGCAGUUCUAUGGACAAGUUCAGGAACACUGAUGCUGCUGCUGGCUCGACUGGACUGGCCAUGAGAUCUGAAAAGGCAAGCUCUCGAUCGAGUCCUGUUGGAUCUACCUACCUGGGUUUGGCAACUUUCCUCCAUGUCAAUGCACGUCCGUCAGUCAAACUUGUUCUUCCAUUUGUGAAGUGCGCCACGGCUCUAGAACUCUACCGGCGGCCGCGUGUUCGUCCACAUCCAGCUCCCUCCUUCCCCUACAACUCCGCCCUAGACCCGAUGUUCAGGUACAGUCCAGCACUGAUGCUCGACUGCUUUCUGAAUAAGUUGAUAGUAUGA
rnacentral:rRNA from 1 species